AUUGAACGCUGGCGGCAUGCUUUACACAUGCAAGUCGAACGGUAACAGCACUUCGUUGGCUGACGAGUGGCGAACGGGUGCGUAAUACAUCGGAACGUGCCUAGUAGUGGUGGAUAACUACUCGAAAGAGUAGCUAAUACCGCAUGAGAUCUAAGGUUGAAAGCAGGAGACCUCCGUGCUUUGCGCUACUAUUGCUGCCGAUGGCAGAUUAGGUAGUUGGUGGGAUAAAAGCUUACCAAGGCGACGAUCUGUAGCUGGUCUGAGAGGACGACCAGCCACACUGGGACUGAGACACGGCCCAGACUCCUACGGGAGGCAGCAGUAGGGAAUUUUGGACAAUGGGCGCAAGCCUGAUCCAGCAAUGCCGCGUGCAGGAUGAAGGCCUUCGGGUUGUAAACUGCUUUUGUACGGAACGAAAAGCCCUCUUCUAAUACAGGAGGGUCAUGACGGUACCGUAAGAAUAAGCACCGGCUAACUACGUG
rnacentral:rRNA from 1 species